AUGCUGGAGGGAAUCAAGACACUGUCAACCAUGUUCAGAGGCUAUUCCAAAAAAAAAAAAAACAUGUUCAGAGGCCGUGUGAUAAUUGAGACGGACUGCUCCGUGUUGGUAAAUGAGCUGGAUCCAGGCAAGAUGAGCAAAUCAGCCUGUUACCCGACUAUAUGUGACAUAACAGAAGCUCUGAAACUUUUCCAAGACUAUCAAUUCAGUCUGAUCAGAAGGGACCAGAACAAGGUGGCCCACAUGUUGGCCGAUCUUGCAAAGGCAAAUGGAGACAUGUAUAUGGUAAAUGCUGUGCCAGAAGUGAUUAGAGAUAUCCUAAUUACUGAUUGUAAUGUGCCAUCUGAGUGA
rnacentral:rRNA from 1 species